rnacentral:rRNA from 1 species
CGUAGGUAACCUGCCUUGUAGCGGGGGAUAACUAUUGGAAACGAUAGCUAAUACCGCAUAACAAUGGAUGACACAUGUCAUUUAUUUGAAAGGGGCAAUUGCUCCACUACAAGAUGGACCUGCGUUGUAUUAGCUAGUAGGUGAGGUAAUGGCUCACCUAGGCGACGAUACAUAGCCGACCUGAGAGGGUGAUCGGCCACACUGGGACUGAGACACGGCCCAGACUCCUACGGGAGGCAGCAGUAGGGAAUCUUCGGCAAUGGGGGCAACCCUGACCGAGCAACGCCGCGUGAGUGAAGAAGGUUUUCGGAUCGUAAAGCUCUGUUGUAAGUCAAGAACGGGUGUGAGAGUGGAAAGUUCACACUGUGACGGUAGCUUACCAGAAAGGGACGGCUAACUACGUGCCAGCAGCCGCGGUAAUACGUAGGUCCCGAGCGUUGUCCGGAUUUAUUGGGCGUAAAGCGAGCGCAGGCGGUUUGAUAAGUCUGAAGUUAAAGGCUGUGGCUCAACCAUAGUUCGCUUUGGAAACUGUCAAACUUGAGUGCAGAAGGGGAGAGUGGAAUUCCAUGUGUAGCGGUGAAAUGCGUAGAUAUAUGGAGGAACACCGGUGGCGAAAGCGGCUCUCUGGUCUGUAACUGACGCUGAGGCUCGAAAGCGUGGGGAGCGAACAGGAUUAGAUACCCUGGUAGUCCACGCCGUAAACGAUGAGUGCUAGGUGUUGGAUCCUUUCCGGGAUUCAGUGCCGCAGCUAACGCAUUAAGCACUCCGCCUGGGGAGUACGACCGCAAGGUUGAAACUCAAAGGAAUUGACGGGGGCCCGCACAAGCGGUGGAGCAUGUGGUUUAAUUCGAAGCAACGCGAAGAACCUUACCAGGUCUUGACAUCCCGAUGCUAUUUCUAGAGAUAGAAAGUUACUUCGGUACAUCGGUGACAGGUGGUGCAUGGUUGUCGUCAGCUCGUGUCGUGAGAUGUUGGGUUAAGUCCCGCAACGAGCGCAACCCCUAUUGUUAGUUGCCAUCAUUCAGUUGGGCACUCUAGCGAGACUGCCGGUAAUAAACCGGAGGAAGGUGGGGAUGACGUCAAAUCAUCAUGCCCCUUAUGACCUGGGCUACACACGUGCUACAAUGGUUGGUACAACGAGUUGCGAGUCGGUGACGGCGAGCUAAUCUCUUAAAGCCAAUCUCAGUUCGGAUUGUAGGCUGCAACUCGCCUACAUGAAGUCGGAAUCGCUAGUAAUCGCGGAUCAGCACGCCGCGGUGAAUACGUUCCCGGGCCUUGUACACACCGCCCGUCACACCACGAGAGUUUGUAACACCCGAAGUCGGUG